rnacentral:lncRNA from 1 species
GUUCUUCAUCUCUGGGAAAUCAGUGACCCAUGGACUGGACAAUAACUUUGAGCCAUGCAGUCAAAAUAAAAUGGAAUAUUUAAGUGAAAGAUCAGGUUCUGGAAAAUAAAACUGCUCGUAGCUGCAUAUUAUCUACCGAACUUAGGUGGAUUCUCAGAAAGAAAAAGGUGAUGUUCACUGGCAUGAACAGUGAAUGGUGGAGUGGAACGUGAACAGGCUGGAGCUCUGGCUGUGCCAUUUAUUAGCCAUGUGCCUUUAGAAGGUCCUCAUCUUCUCCAGCCUCAGUUUCACCAUCUGUAAUGGAGUAUCCAUGACCCAGAGAGAGUAUCAGUGUCAAGAAUCUGCCAGUGAGAAAGUGAUUUGAAGCAGCUCUGGAGUUCAGAUGGCCACGGGUGCAAGUGCCUGCUCUGGUGUGCUUUGCCUCUGGAAAGAUGCCAAGUCUUUGAGAAUCUUUGCUGCAUCAGCCAUGCUACAUCCUGAGGACUUGGAGGUGAGGAAAUCCUGUGUGCACUUGUUUCCUUCCCUUCAAAUGAUAUAUCCCAGAAAAAUGGCAAGCUCUCUGCUUACUAACUCUUUUCUUUUUCUUUAGUUCCCCCUUAGCUUUCUCUCUCCUUUCUUCCGUCUUUCUCUUGCCUCCUUUCAUUUUUGGUAAAAUCCAAAGCGAAAUGUCAACUCAGAGGACAUAGCUGUUUGUCUUCACCACCUACAAACUGUAUUUCCUGGAUCAAGC